rnacentral:rRNA from 1 species
AAAAGAACCCCUGUGAGGGGAGUGAAAUAGAACCUGAAACCGUGUACGUACAAGCAGUAGGAGCACCUUCGUGGUGUGACUGCGUACCUUUUGUAUAAUGGGUCAGCGACUUAUAUUCAGUGGCAAGGUUAACCAUCUAGGGGAGCCGUAGGGAAACCGAGUCUUAACUGGGCGUUCAGUCUCUGGAUAUAGACCCGAAAC